rnacentral:misc_RNA from 1 species
GUGAAUCAUCGAAUUUUUGAACGCAAAUUGCACUCUCCUCGGAGAGUAUGCCUGUUUGAGGGUCAGCCUAUAAAAAAUCGACAUCGUUGCUGUUUCACGGUGACGUUCGUCGGAAAUUGGGUCAUCUUAAAUCUUUUGGGUUUAAGCGACUUAAAAUUUUCUUUUUGAUUCCAUGAACGUGUUUCUAAGAUUUAUUUUUUUACACUUUUAAGGUUUUUAUUUUUAUUAUCCUUGCCCUUAAUAUCUGUU